AAACAUGUCCAAGUUCCUCACA
rnacentral:miRNA from 1 species